rnacentral:misc_RNA from 1 species
CUGAAAGAUACAUGGAGCAUCAAGUGAAUUCCUCCAAAGAAACAGAUCAUUGGGAAGAGCCGUUGUCUGAAGGAUGAAUUGAUUUUAAUUUCGUUUGCAAUUUUUGCAACCAGUUUCUGAAGCAAGAGCCUCAUGAAUUCCUGGGGACCAUGAAACAAGAGGGAACCCUACUUUUAAAAGGAAAGAAACAUUGGCAAUCCUCAUCUCUGGAUUUCUAUCAAAUUUGUUUUUGUUCCUUUCUUCUGUGGUAUUGAGGGUUUUGUACUUCCGCUGGAUUACGAGAGGGCACUCAAGUUUUCAAAGGUAUGAAAUCAAGCCUAGAAUUUUUACUCUUAAUUGAAUUCAAUCAUUGUUCUGUUUUGGUUUUGUAUCUUCUUUAUCCAUAAUUACAGAGGCGAAUGAAAAGAUUUAGGUGUUUUUGGUGAGGCAUAAUGGCUUCACAUUAUUAAUGCAGGUUUUGACUGGUUAGCGUCAUAAAGGUAAUAGUCUUGGUCAUCGUGAUAUGCCAUUAGAAUUUGAUGCUUCUCUGAGGUAUAGAAUAUUUGGUGAAAAACUCUCGCGGUUAUUUUUUAUUAUGUUAGCAUUCGGUGUUUCAAGAGUACAUUGAUGAAGUUUGCGCCUGAAUGGGAAGAAUAAUUUCUCACAUCCAAUGUGUGAUGGCUGCUAUAGUUAUGAGACAAGUUCUUAAACAGACCGUAAAAGAAGGGAAUGCAUCAACGACCUUUUAGCAUGAAUAGUUAGUCUCCCGGAUGAUUAGGAUUGAUCAUAGUAGAGAAGAUAUGAGAAGUUUGAUGUUCCAAUGGCCUACACUAUAGAGCAACAAUUAUUGAUGUUGGAAUAGCUUGGUCUGCAAGUUUUUACCGCUACCAUUUGUUCUUGACUUCUUUCAUGGGUUUUGGUUAGUAUAUGCAGGGAUUUGUUCUUCGGUUGGUUUACAAGAGGGAACUUAACUAUGAAAAAGGGAAGAAGCUUGGGGAAAAAAAGAACAAGAGAAGAUCAUGAUCAGCUAAAGUUGAGUAAUAUUGAUUUUUUUAAUGAAUUAUGUUACUAUUCUGCAUCGUCUCUCCAUUUGAAUCUUGAGAUUGAUUUAAGUGUAUUAAAAUGUGUUACAUUGGGACCUCAGAUAGAGUAUACUGGAGGGAGCUACUGAUUCAGAAGAUGCUCAUCACAAAGACUUCCUUUACGCUUGUUAGACAAUAGACACCAAUUUUCUUUUCUUUCAGUUUAAUUUUCUUAUUUGUUUGGUUGUCGGAUCAGGUUAAAAGAUACCACGAACUCUCCUAGAAAACCGGAGUAUAUUGCAGUAGCAGGAGCAGAUUGAUGAUUGUGAAGCAUGAACACGAGUAUUGGAAAUAUGUAGAGGAAGGUUAAACCUGAGAGAGACACUACUUUGCCAACCGAGAUAUGCCAGAAACUUGAAGACCAUUUGAGCUAGUGAGAUCAAUUAGAGGACCAGAUUCAUCCAAUCAUUGAUAAGAGCCAGUACCAACCUGAUAAACGAGAUACAGCAACAUCUAUGUCAGCCCACAAAGCACGAAGAGUACUUGAUCAACCUCUUCCACAUCCAGUUUCCCGAACCCGGAAAAUCUGCAUCCCAAAACAAAAUAUAGCUGCAUUCAUGCAUACAUCCAUACA